rnacentral:rRNA from 1 species
GGCGCCAUGGGUUCUUGGCGGUCCUACCCGGGCCGCUGGAUACACUUAACCCACAGGCGAAGAUAACUCGAGUUGUUGCGGGAUUACGGGUUCGGCCGAUGGCGCAAGCCUUCGUCGGGCCCCUCCAUCCCAGGGUGUCCCGGGACGGGUGCUUGCACCCAGCGGGCAUCCCCAGAGUGCGUAGGAUGUGACCCGAAAGAUGGUGAACUAUGCCUGAUCAGGUCGAAGUCAGGGGAAACCCUGAUGGAGGACCGAAGCAAUUCUGACGUGCAAAUCGAUUGUCAGAGUUGGGCAUAGGGGCGAAAGACCAAUCGAACCAUCUAGUAGCUGGUUCCUUCCGAAA